UCCACUGCAGACAGAGACAGGGAGAAAUGUCCCCACGCAGGCAGGGCCCUGGCACAGUCUUUGCAGGGCCCGACCUUGCUUUUGCAACCUGCCUGCCUUUCCCUCUAGAAUCCCCCCAGCACCCAGCGCCAAGGCCCGACCAACCCCCACACUGUGCCUCCCAGGUAUUUUGCUUCCCCCCUCCCCGACCACUCAAGUACGUACCGAAAUCAAACAAAUGCAAUGUAUGGGCCUGGUUUGAACCCCAAUUCAAACAUGGGGAUAGACAUUGGAAAGAAUCAUUAAUCUGUCCAAGUGUGAUGACUGCUUUGUGGUUAUGUUUUACAAAGUCUGUUUCUUUAGAGAUAACACACUGAGGUAUUUAUGGCAAUGAUAUGUUGUCUCUGAUGCUUUAAAAUAAUACAGUAGGCCAGGCGCAGUGGCUCACGCCAGUAAUCCCAGCACUUUGGGAGGCUGAGGUGGGCAGAUCACGAGGUCGGGAAAUCAAGAACAUCCUGGCUAACAUGGUGAAACCCCAUCUCUACUAAAAAUAAAAAAAUAAAAAAAAUUAGCCGGGCGUGGUGGCGGGUUCCUGUAGUCCCAGCUACUCGGGAGGCUGAGGCAGGAGAAUGGCGUGAACCCGGGAGGUGGAGCUUGCAGUGAGCCGAGAUCACGCCACUGCACUCCAGCCUGGGCGACAGAGCAAGACUCCGUCUCAAAAAUAAUAAUAAUAAUAACAAUAAUACAGUGGAGGCCGGGUGAGAUGGUGCACAGCUGCGAUACCAGCACUUUGGGAGGCCGAGGCCAGUGGAUCACAUGAGGUCAGGAGUUUGGGACCAGCUUGGCCAACAUGGCGGAAAACUUGUUUCGUAUUUUCUCUACUAAAAAUACAAAAAUUAGCCCGGCGUGGUGUCCUGUGCCUGUAAUUCCAGCUGUUUGGGAGCUGAGGCAUGAGAAUCGCUUGAACCCAGGAGGCAGAGGUUGCAGUGAGCGGAGAUCAGGCCACUGUACUCCACGAUCUCACUCCAGAGCAAGACCCUGUCUCAGAAAAUGAAAUAAUCCCCUAAGAAGUGGAUGGCAGUGUCUGUGAAAACUGCGGAAGGUGAGAGAUGGGUAUGUAACAUUCUCUCCACUCUUCUCUCUACUUUUGAGUGUGUUUGAAAUUUUUCAUAAUAAAAAGUUAAGGCCAGGUGUAGAGGCUCAGGCUUGUAAUCCUAGCACUUUGGGAAGCAGAGGUGGGAAGAGAGCUUGAGCCCAGGUGUUGGAGACCAGCCUGGGCAAUAUAUAGUGAGACAUCUGUCUCCACAAAACAUAGAAAAUUUAGCCAGGCAUGGUAGUGUGCUCCUCGAGGACACUGAGGAGAGAGGAUCGCUUGAGCUUUGGGGGAGGAGGCUGCGAUUCCACUGCACUCCACCCUGGGCAACAAAGCGAUACCCUGUCUUGUCUCAAAAAAAAAAAAAAAAAAAAAAGUACACUUACUGUGAGCACUACUACGUUCCAGGCCCUGGGGAUACCACAGAGUAUCAGAGUAGUCCUGCCUGCCUGCAGCUUGCUUCCCACAGGGAGAGGAUUGAGGAUAGAUUAUAAACAUAGAAGAUGAGAGGGACCGGAAGAGCAGGCUGUAACUUCAACCAGAGUGGCCAGGGAAGACCCGCACUGAAAAGGGGCAUCGAGCAGACAGAUAUAAAGAAGGCAAAGAAGCAGGCCACGUGGCUGGCUGGGGAAAGCAUAUUCCAGCUCUCCCCGAAGGUCCUCUGAGGAGGAGAAACAAAGCAAGGCGUGCAUGAGCGACAUGGGAGAUGAUAUGGCAAGAAUCAUCACUGGAGCUAUCCCAUGGGAUCCAGUGCUGCCUGAGUCCUGGAAACCACCUGAGGGAGGUCACAGCCCUUAUGCACCUACUGCUCACUCAGCCCCGUAGUGACUGUUCUUAACCCAUCUGUGGAUUGUGAAGUUUAUCUAGUUGUUUAUAACUAUUUUUUUUGGUGAAAUAGAAUAGAAAACAUCAAAGUGCAUACGUGUAGCAAAGGUGAGUAUUAUUUUCUGAGACUUUUGUCUCAAGCAUGUGAUUCUGAAAUACGAUAUAUAUUAUUGUGGCUCAUAGUCAAGAAAGUUUUAUCACAUCCCUGUAGACCUCCAACCCCAGGAAAAUCAGGGCCUUUCUCUCCAGUCCCCUUCAGCUCCAGAUCAUGUGAUUCUCCUAGACCCCCAGGACUGACACUGUUCUCUGGCUGCUGGUCCUGACGCCUUAGGAUAAAUGACUCGAGCCCCUGGCUGAGCCGGACUUACCUGGAGAAAGUCAAGGUCAGGCUUUUGAGCUGUCUCCUGGAUCUGGCUGCUGAGCUUAGACAGCUGGGUGAUCUCAGCCCCGAGCUGGGCCAGGUUCUCAUUCUGCUUCUGUGCCACCUCCCGGGACAGUUCCUCCAGGUGGCCUAGCAGCCGACCCUCCUGCUCCACCAGGAAGGCCCUCAGCGCCUGGAACUCUGCCCCCACCUUCUCCUGCUCCGCUGCCAUCUGUUUCUGUCCCAGGAGGAGAAGUUGGAGAGAUGCGCCCACAGUCUGUGGACCUGCACUGCAUCACCUAAACCAAGGCAGCAUCAUAGUCGCCGCAGAACUACGCCAAGCUGCAGCUUCCUCACUUGAAAAGCAGAAGGGAUAGAUUAGUGCCUCCUGGGGCAACCAUAGGAUUAAACUGAGAUUGCUUUUUC